rnacentral:snRNA from 1 species
GGGUGUGAGGGCGAUCUGGCUGCAACAUCUGUCACCCCACUGAUCGCCAGGGUUGAUUCAGCUGAUCUGGCUGACUAGGCAGGUGUCCCCUUCCUCCCUCACUACUCCACGUGUGUCCCUCCCAAAGCUUUGCACUCGGUCAAAGAGGACGGCCUUCCCUGAAUACAGGACUGGUCUUCCGUCAAGGGUAUACGAGUAGCUGAACUCCCCUGCUAGAACCUCCAAACAAGCUCUCAAGAUAGCUGUAGUGCAUUGUUUAAGGGAUGAUGACAAGAAAAGGGGUGUGUACAUGUUCUGUACAAAUGCUGUUUUU